AAGCGGAAGAUCUGGGUUCGAGUCCCGGUCCAGUCUGUCCAACGGCCCAAUUUUUUCACAAAUCCUACAUUUUGGGGGCCCCUCCAGGAUUAAAAGAGAAUAGAUUUCAUGUGUGCAAUAAAAAGUCGUAUAAAGUCGUAUAAAGUCGUGUGAAGUUGCAUAAAGUUGUAUCAAGUCGAAAGUUGCGUUACAAUUACCAGCAGUGUGAAUCCGAUUCUAAGUUGAUUAAGAGUGUUGCGCGAGGAAAGUUGACCACGCGUGAAUACUAAAGUAAAGUUGUGAAGUAAUCGGUAGUGUUGGUGUAACGGUGAUAUAGGAGGACGAUAAAGAAACAUUAAGAUUAAGAAAAGUAGCUGUUUAAACGAUGGCUCAAUUGAAGGUAACACUCGAAACAAGUGCGGAUGAGCAGGAAGUUGGACGUUAGGAAUUGAACGAAAAGGCCGUUGAAAACACGUCACUAAGAAGACGAGUUGAAGAACGAAAGCGUCAAGGUAAAGCAGUCGAGAAAGAAGCCGUCACUUACACCUAUGAGCAGAUUGACUCCAUGAAAUUAAGGGAGUUAAAAGAAGCGGCGAAGAAGUUAAGGUUAUCCACAGUCGGAAAUAAGCAGGCGUUAAGAAAUCGCUUGAAAGAUGCGAUGAAAGAUGAAGAAAGCGAAGACGAA
rnacentral:lncRNA from 1 species